rnacentral:rRNA from 1 species
AAUGCACGCAGGUGCGAUGGGGGGACUCCGAGUGCAGUCUUCCAAAACGGAAGGCCGCUUUUCUGCACUUUAAGCAGGUGCCGAAACAAGGGGUGGGCAAGACGGCUGCCAGCCGCCGCGGUAAUAGCCGCACCCCGAGUGGUAGUCAUUGUUAUUGGGCUUAAAGUGUUCGUAGCCGGACACACAAGUCUGCUGUGAAAUCCAUGCGCUUAACGUAUGGACAUGCAGCGGAUACUGUGUGUCUAGGAACCGGACGGCGUCGAGGCUAUUCCCGGGGUAGGGGUGAAAUCCUAAAAUCCUGGGAGGAGCACCUGUGGCGAAAGCGCUCGACGAGUACGGAUUCGACGGUGAGGAACGAAAGCCA